rnacentral:rRNA from 1 species
UUUAAACGUAGUUUUUGAGACCAAAGGAGUAUUAGUUAUGAGCUUUAAAAUUAAAGAUUUUGGCGGUAUUUUAAUCUUUUCAGAGGAACCUGUCCUGUAAUUGAUAGUCCACGAUUUAUUUUACUUAUUUUAUUAGUUUAUAUAUCGUCGUGUAGAAUAUUUUAUAAGAAUUAAAUGUUCAAGAUUUUGUAGUAUAGAAAGAAAGUCAGAUCAAGAUGUAGCUUAUAAUUAAGGAGAGAUGGGUUACAAUAAAUUUAUUUAUAAGGAUUAUAUUUUGAAAUGUUAUAUGAAAGUGGAUUUGAAAGUAAUUUUUUUUAGAUUUUAAAAAUGAAUUGAGCUCUAAAAUGUGC